rnacentral:rRNA from 1 species
ACGCUGAUGCACGAAAGCGUGGGGAGCGAACAGGAUUAGAUACCCUGGUAGUCCACGCCGUAAACGAUGCUCACUCGCUGUAUGCGAUACACAGUAUGCGGCCAAGCGAAAGCAUUAAGUGAGCCACCUGGGGAGUACGAUCGCAAGGUUGAAACUCAAAGGAAUUGACGGGGGCCCGCACAAGCGGAGGAACAUGUGGUUUAAUUCGAUGAUACGCGAGGAACCUUACCUGGGCUUAAAUGGGGAACGACAGCUGCCGAAAGGUGGCCUUCUUCGGACGUUCUUCAAGGUGCUGCAUGGUUGUCGUCAGCUCGUGCCGUGAGGUGUCGGGUUAAGUCCCAUAACGAGCGCAACCCUUAUCGUUAGUUGCCAGCGGGUCAUGCCGGGGACUCUAGCGAGACUGCCACCGUAAGGUGUGAGGAAGGUGGGGAUGACGUCAAAUCAGCACGGCCCUUAUGUCCAGGGCUACACACGUGUUACAAUGGCCAAUACAAAGGGCAGCUACUUGGUGACAAGAUGCUAAUCUCUAAAGUUGGUCUCAGUUCGGAUCGAAGUCUGCAACCCGACUUCGUGAAGCUGGAUUCGCUAGUAAUCGCAUAUCAGCCAUGAUGCGGUGAAUACGUUCCCGGGCCUUGUACACACCGCCCGUCAAACAAUGGAAGCUGGGGGUA